GUAAAUAAUGCGCUUAAUUUUAACAAUUGUGAAAGCCAAUUGUUUAUUCGAAGCCACUCUUGUUGAACGCAAAUUUUCCGAAUAAGAAUAGUUUUUGAGAAACUGAGAAAUCAAAGAAUUCACGGGAUAUAUACAUUUAAAUUUAUUUGUCAUUUGGAAAAUAAUUACAUUAGAAAUGAUAAUGUGGUAAUGAUCAUUAAAGACUAAAUGUUAGAGAAUUCAGUGUAAAAUGAAUGUUUUCACAACUUUGCUAUUAGAGAUUAUCAUCAAUACAUUGUGGUAUUCUCUGUAAUGCAUUACAGCAACUUCAAAUAUUUAUAUAACCUCGAAAGGUGAAUUAAUAGUUUUUAAGUAAAUCUUAUUUCACUAUUCAGGCGAAGAAA